rnacentral:rRNA from 1 species
GACGAACGCUGGCGGCGUGCUUAACACAUGCAAGUCGAGCGAGGCCCAUCCGGUAGCAAUACCGGUGAAGGUCGAGCGGCGAACGGGUGAGUAACACGUGAGCAACCUGCCCCGAAGUUCGGGAUACCUCCGGGAAACCGGUGUUAAUACCGGGUGCCCUCGUCUGUCCGCAUGGUCGGAUGAGGAAAGAAUAUCGCUUCGGGAGGGGCUCGCGGGCUAUCAGCUUGUUGGUGGGGUAACGGCCUACCAAGGCGACGACGGCUAGCUGGUCUGAGAG